AAAUUUGAUAAAAACGCCAACCCCAUAAAAAACCAGUCAGGCAACUUCAGUAGGAGCAAUGGGAUUAGUCCUAGGGUGGUCUAGCCUAUCUAGUAAAGGAAUUAAUGUGCUCACCGUGGUAAUUGAUAGUGAUUAUCACAGAGAGAUAUUGGUUAUGAUGGACUGUAAAGGUCUGCAUAUUCUUCCCCCUGGAUCAAAGAUAGCUCAGUUACUGAUUUUAUCAUACUGGGUCCCCAGUCUCUAUGGAAAGGAAAGGGGGAAGGGAAGUUUUGGGAGCACAGGAGCCACAGGAGUAUAUUGGAAUCAAUUAAUCACUGAUCAAGGACCCAUGAAGAAAUUGGAAAUAAGAAUUUUACUGGCUUACUGGGCACAGGGGCAGACAUUUCAAUCAUUAGUGAUCAAAACUGGCCAGAAACUUGGCUUUGGGUCAGUCAGAAACAGAAAAUUG
rnacentral:lncRNA from 1 species